rnacentral:rRNA from 1 species
AGUGAACGCUGGCGGUAGGCCUAACACAUGCAAGUCGAACGGCAGCACAGUAAGAGCUUGCUCUUACGGGUGGCGAGUUGCGGACGGGUGAGGAAUACAUCGGAAUCUACUUUUUCGUGGGGGAUAACGUAGGGAAACUUACGCUAAUACCGCAUACGACCUACGGGUGAAAGCAGGGGAUCUUCGGACCUUGCGCGAUUGAAUGAGCCGAUGUCGGAUUAGCUAGUUGGCGGGGUAAAGGCCCACCAAGGCGACGAUCCGUAGCUGGUCUGAGAGGAUGAUCAGCCACACUGGAACUGAGACACGGUCCAGACUCCUACGGGAGGCAGCAGUGGGGAACAUUGGACAAUGGGCGCAAGCCCGAUCCAGCCAUACCGCGUGGGUGAAGAAGGCCUUCGGGUUGUAAAGCCCUUUUGUUGGGAAAGAAAAGCAGCAGGUUAAUACCCCGCUGUUCUGACGGUACCCAAAGAAUAAGCACCGGCUAACUUCGUG